GCCUAUCUAGCUUAGUUGGUAAUGCGCAAGGCUUUUGACCUGGGUUCGAACCCCACAGUGGGUG
rnacentral:tRNA from 7 species